UGGGAGAUGGAAUCUGGUGGUCCAGGUGUUGAAGGGUAGUAAUAGACGCAGUACAGCCAAUGACAGGAAGCCCAUCUGGCUGGUAAAAUAUGGCGCUAGGCAACCUGCAGUCACCUAGGCAACCAGUGUGGUUGGGGACGUCCAUCAAGAGGUGACCGUGGGUCCAGAUGAUGGGGACUGAUGUGCACACAGAGCAGGCCAUGCAAGCAGGCACUAUUCAGACAUCCAGGCAUGGGGUUGGCACUGGGGACAUCUGCCAGCUGCAAGGAUAGGAUGCCAGUCCAUGGGAAGAGCAAGAACGCAAUGAUGUUCCCGGAAUGUGAAAGUUACCAAGAAGGAGAAACUCAGAGCCAGGAAGACUUUUCUGUCAGAGCUUCUGAUCAAGAGUUGAGAAACCGUGGAAUCUCCAGGCUCAACAGUUAUUCCAGAAGGAAUUACCUAUGUGAACAAUGUUGUUUUACUCCACAGCCACAGUGAAAUGGUUGGACUUUCCAGAGAUUUUUGAUUGGUAAGGCUGCUCUGAUGUGGAGAGGUGCUCGGGAUCUGUGAUUGGUCACCAUGGCCCUGUUACGGGAAGAAGACGAUGGGUAGUGUUUCCAAGAUGGCCUCCACUGGCCUUGGUGAGAGGGCUUAGGCUCCUGUUGUGGAACAAGCAGGCAGACAAUUAACACAGUAAAUGUUGGCUCGUGAGAAAUACAUUGGUUCUGGAUCUGGGGUCUAUGGACCCCCAAGAGGUCCAUAGAUGGAAUUCAAGAGGGUCCAUGAACUUGAACGGGAAAAGAAUUAUAUCAUUUUCACAAAUCUCUGACUGAAACUUGGCAUUUCCUUUAAUUAUGAAUGUAGACAACAAACCACAAUAGUAUCAAUAGUACCUUUGACUUUGUCAUCAGCAGAAAUCAGAUAUUUUCACAUCAUGUUAAAGUUGUUGCAGAAAUAUCAAAGUAUUGUUUAUGCUCAUCACUACCUCAAAAUUAUGGAGAUGACUAAGCUCACAAGAUCCUGUUAUUUAAUGCACUAAUAAAGAAGUACGCAUAUUACUAUAUCA
rnacentral:lncRNA from 1 species